rnacentral:lncRNA from 1 species
GUGGGAACGCGGCCGCGGACCUGGUACCCCAGAGCAGCGAGCGGGUGGGGAGCAGCCGGGGCGAGAAUGAGCGCAAUCUUGCUAACCCCUGCGGAGGGAGCGCGCGGGCGCCAACGCGGGCGCGCGGGGGCGGGCCCUGGACCUGGACCUUGGGUUUCGGCCCUCCUCCGCGCCCCGCGGUCUCGCGGGCGAAGUUUCAGUCCUGAGUGUAAAGAAUAACCCCAAGCGCGUGGCUAAGUGCGAGCAGGCGCGUGUGACGUCGGGAGGCGCCGCGGCUCCUCGGCCGCCCCACUCGGUGGUCCCCUGUCUGGAUCCAAACUGCUGACUGGCUGACCCGAGUGGUCACAUUUGCCCUCUGGGGCUUUUGAAAACCUUAAAUCAAAAUUGCUUUUGAAUCUGACAACUCCUGAGGCUACUUUCGCGGCCUCGGGGCUGUUUCAUAUAAGGACGCGAGUUUUCCUGAUCAGGUCUGUCGGCCACGUUACGAUUUCCAAUUUGCGAUCCAUCAGUUACUUCCAUUGGGUCUUCAGCCCCCAGGGACUGUGGAUCCUAGACCCCGCGGAGAAGCCCGUGGACUGGAGCUGUGUCAGCUCUGAUGGAACAAAAACGGAGGCACAGAGAGGUCAAUUGAUUGGUCUAAUGACACAGAUCUAGCAAGUGGUGGAACCAGGACUGAAUCCAGGUAACUUGCUCCUGAUGUUUGUCCAUUGGUGCUCUCAUACUUUUUUCCCUCUCUCUUCCUGUUAGAAUGUGCUUCCAGGACUUUGUUUACACUGGGGAAUAGGUGUCUAAUAAACUUAACAUGCGUUUAUUACGGGGGUAUUUACAAAAGCAGAAGCAUUAAGACAAAGGAAUAAACCUCUAAUUGUAGAAUUCUAGUCACCAGCCAAUGGGCACAUUUUUUUUGUUUAUUUUUGGGAAAAUAAUCUUUAAUAAUGCUUCUCAACUCACAUCACUCUAUCCACUCAAUUAUUAAAGAUUUAUUGAGUACAUAAUGGGCAUGUCACAGCUUGUGUUUUCUGGAAGCAGUCACCGAGAUGGAAUGCGGGGUGCCGGAUAUUCAUUAGGGAUCAACACCUGUGAAAAGGAGUGGGUAGAGACAGAAUUGGGCCAAGGGAGAAGUCACUAUCCAGAGUAGGGCUGAGAAGAACUUGGCCCACUUGAUAGGGAGCUCUGGAGUCAGAAUUGGCCAUCAGAGGGGUCCCUGAUUAGCUUCAGGCCUUUGUCCCCUUCACUCUCCCCUCUUUGCCCCUACCCCCAACUCCUUUCUCAGUUAUUGGAUACCAGCAUGACCUGAAAUGAAGCAGUUUUUAUUUACAGCUGAGGCCAGCUCUUACAGAGCUGAUUGGAGGCUGGAGGCUGACUGCACCCCAGCAGCUGAGCAGCAAGUCCUUUUUUGAAGGGGGAUCUAACACAUCUUUGUCUAUCACAAGUUGCUAGACCCUGGGCUAAAUGCAGGGAACACGCAGAUAAAGAGGACACAAUCCCUUUGCUCAAAAAGUGAUUGUUCCAUCUGAUUUAUCAGUGGUUACCUGUAACGAUUUUUCCUUCCAAUAAUUCUUGAUUGCUCAAGGCCCUAGUUGAGGGUUUUUCCUGUUCAUGGACAAAUAGCAACGGUAUAGUAAAAAUAGCACAGACAGACCUGGGUUUGCCCUUGAGGAAGUCAUUUUUCCUGAGCCUUAGUUUACUUAUCUAUAUGAUGAAUAUGACCAUAUCCUUUGGAGAGAGUUCUAGAAAGGAGACAAGGUAUUUAUAAAUUUCCUAACAAAUAAUUUUAAUACUUAGUAAGUGAUCAAUAAAUGGCAGUAAUUAGUUAUAAUAUAUUAUUACUACCCUACUCAUCCUCACUGACUGCUACCAUUGGCCAUAAGUUUCCUGUGGGCUUCUGCCAUCUCUGUCCUUUGUUUUGACCAGUACCUCUCUUCUCAAAUAUGUCUAGGUCCUCACAUUAUAUUUCAAAGCUCUUUAUCUCUCUGCUUCCUAUGAGUUGACUUCUGUCUGCCUUUCCCACCCUUUCUGCCUCCAUUUUUUUCCUUUCUAGGAAAAUUUUCCUUAAUGCUUCUAUUCCAUCCUUAAGCUUUAUUGCCUUGGCUACAACUUAUGUCUAAGAAGUGUGCACUGUUUGGCUCAGCAGAUAUUCUUACAUAUCAAACCAUUUUAUUUAUUUAUAAAUUCCUCUAGAAUGACUAGAAAAGGCAGCAAAUUCUCAUUAUCCUUCACGAUUCCUUCUUAGCUAUUAGCAUGCUUUCUAUUUGGCGUACAUAUACCAUUCAUAAGAACUCAUUAUUAGGGCCAGGCGCGGUGGCUCACGCCUGUAAUCUCAGCACUUUGGGAGGCCGAGGCCGGCGGAUCACGAGGUCAAGAGAUCAAGACCAUCCUGGCCAACAUGGUGAAACCCUGUCUCUACUAAAAAUACAAAAAUUAGCUGGGUAUGGUGGCAGGCGCGUGUAGUCCCAGCUACUCGUGAGGCUGAGGCAGGAGAAUUGCUUGAACCCGGGAGGCAGAGGUUGCAGUGAGCAAGAUUGUGCCACUGCACUCCAGCCUGGUGACAGAGCGAGACUUCGUCUCAGAAAAAAAAAAAAAAAAGGAACUCAUUAUUAGGAACAGAGAACCAUUCAGUUGUAAAGCCAGAAGUAAGGUUAAGAACUUUUGGCCUCGUCUUUCUCAUUUAGAAGUAAGGAAAUUGAUCCUAGAAAAAUUAAUUCAAAUACUCAUAUUUACACAGCUAGUUAAACAGACACUGGAACCCUGGUAAUUAAAGUUGUUCAGCUGUAUGCUAUCUGUCUAUUCUUUGUUUUCUGUGUCAAUAAUGCCAUAUUGUUUUAUGUUCCUAGAGUACAAAUAAAUGAAUCAAUAUAGUCACCA